ACAGGUAACAAAUUAAACGGAAACUGUAUACAUUCAAAAUGUACUGAAAAGCGAACGGGUCGGGGACACGGAUAAGCCGAAAGGAGAAUAACCUUACCGAAGGUCUGCGGUGCUUUUGAGCGCUUCCCCGGGCGAUCUGAUGAGCUCCAUUGAGUCCGAUGUGAAGCCGGGAGUCGGGACUCGGAUGCUAGCGGUGACUGACCUUAUUCCUCCCUCCUGCCUCCUGAGGGUGGGACUCCGGGCCGGACCCGCAGCACUACCCGCUGCUGCCCUGCUUAAAACCUGACAUACACGGACUACUCUGGACAAGCAACUAAAACACCGCAAGGCCAUGUUUGUUUACCAACUAACGCGUGUAUCACGUGAUAAGCGCCGUGAAGAGUUGACCCGAGAGCGAUCGGGGCUUUUAUCACCGCGACAGUGCCGCCUACCGAAUCGGAGGAACGUGAGCAAUACGGUGUUUUUUUACAUUUGUCCCUUAAACAAAAUAUUACUAUGUAUAUACGUUAUGUUACAGCAUGUAUACAGGAGGUGAGUAAAUGCUAAUAAAAACGUCUCUCAAUUGA